UAUUACGUUAGCUACUUUUAAAAUACUUUUAAGUCAUUUGGAUGGUUGGUUAAGUUUUGUUAGCUUAAUUUAAAACAUUGUUUAAUCGUGUGAAUGGCUGGAGGGAUAAGGUAAUUUAAUUUCGAACACUGUUCAAUUAUUUGAAUGAUUGGUUGUAUACAAUAUUCAUUUAAAAUACUGUAUAUUGGUGUAAAUGUUUGGGUAAGUUACGUUAGCCACAUUAAAAAUACUUAACGGCGUUCUUCGGGAUAGGUGUUAUUCAAAAAACCAUUAAAUGUUCUUAAUGGAGAACCUUCUCUAGAAAAUUAGCAUUACUUGAAAUAGGGAUAACAAUCUGCAGGUAGAGAAGUAAAGAUUGUGUUAGGUAAGUUCCGGGAAGAGGAGUGGCAGAUUUUGCAUUUAAAACUGCAGAAUAAAAAGUACGAAUUUUUGAAAAAUUUAAAUAUUUAAGCUUUGUGAAACGAUUAAUAACCAUGCAACAUUUUUAAAUAAUCAAUAUUAAUAUUACAAGAGUGACAUAUUUUUAAUUAUAUAAUCUUGAUUUUUGAAAUAAAUGCUUUUUUUUUCGGAUGAGGUUGUACUAACCAGCGAAAUGAUUUUUUUUCCGUAUCUAAACUACCGCGUUAUUAUUUUCCUGCCUAGUAUUUUGUUAGUACAAUAUAUAGUACACAAUAUAUAGUGCACAAAAUAAUUUAUUACGGUUGUGGCAAACAACAGUUAACUGGUGUCACUGCUACAAAAGUUUAACAUUAUUUAGCCAAACUUGUGUUGUGAAUGUAUUACACUGAAAUAAAUAAUAAAAUCACUUCAGGCUAUAUAAAAAAAGAUUGUCAAAAUUAAAUGAUAUCGUAGCUUUCGUCCAUUCGAAACCUAAAUUGGGCGGAGACAAAACAAAAUACAGAAAAAAACUUAUUUUGUAAUAAAUGAGGCAAUAAAAUUAGUUAUAGGUAUCUAAUUUCUUAAUUUAUUUACUUGAAUGGAAAUAAAUUUGCCAUUAGAAUCAUCAUUUGUUGAUAACCGCCGUUCUAACAAAAUGUAAAACUCAGAUUAACGUAUAUUUCCGUAUACAUAGCCUACUUUAGCAAAAUAUCUCCAGAGUGACGUCACAAAUUGCUAGCCAGUGAAAGAGAAAGGUGCGCAAAAGGAUACAUAUAUAACUUCACGAUGAUUCACCCGUUAUGUUCACAGUUGACAGAACAGAAGAACGAAUGAAUAUCAAGCAAUGAUUUGUGUAACAUUUUCUUAAGUGUUAUGAGUACGUAAUAAAUAUUCUCGCAGAAACUGUAUGGUGUUAUGUAGGCUGAAGUAUCUAUUUAUUCGAUUUUUUAUUUAUUAGAAAACAAUUUGAUCCGAUUUCCGCAUAGUAGACGCAGCGUCGCACUGCGUGGCUGCGACUGGUUGAUAAUCGCUGGCUCCUCUGUGACAUUGUGGGCAUUGGUGAAUCAAGCUUGUCGUGAAUGUCAGUGCGCUUGCAAACUGACUCCCCUGCUGCAGCUCAUACACCGGUCGUCACUGGAUUCUGAUGUACUUUGUAAUAAUUAAGAUAGUUUCUGAACCAGAACAGUUGAUAAGCUACGGUCCUGAAUCAAAAAAGGUAAAUUUAAAAUGUGUCGUAACUUUAUCUUUGAGUCUCAUUUAGAAAAUGUUAACAUACUCACCUUUCAUUGUUAGGUACAUAUUUUUUUACACAAUCCCGCAUAACCCUGCAAGUUAUAAAAAUUCUUCCAAUGUAUGAAUUUCCCAAUUACAUACAUAUUGAUAAUGCCGAAUGUGGACUUUAUAUAUAUAUACACAUGCAUACUUACACAUAUAUGUAUAAUAAUUGAAAGAAAAUGUUUGCUUCAAUGUCUCCCCUAUAAAUAAUAAAUGAAUUACCUAUAUGAUUAAAUAUCCGUGUUCUUAGUGGAUAUAACUAGGAAAAUCUGCAUAAUUUGUAUGUAUUUUGGUAGUUAUUAAAAAAGUACAAUUAAACUUACAAUAUUAUGAAUUGUCAUACCUCUAAUGUUAAAUUUUACUCUUGUACAGAUAGCACACUGUAUCUAAGUAACAUAAUUAAGAUGUCACAGAUAUAAUAAUUAAUACUUAAUAAUUUUAUUCGACAAUGUGUUUCCGAUUCAUUUGACUUCUUGCAAAUGGGUUAUAAAUUAAGUAUAACUCCAGAGACGUACCAAAUUAGGUUACCUUGAAAAACUCAUGACGUCAGCGUGUAUGGUUUAUGUGUUAGGGAAAAUUUAUUCAAAUACUGUGUAUUAAAAAAGUGCAUGACAUGGUA